rnacentral:rRNA from 1 species
GAUCUUAGGACCUCCCGCUACAGGGGCGGCCGAUGGCAGAUUAGCUAGUUGGUGGGGUAAAGGCCUACCAAGGCGACGAUCUGUAGCUGGUCUGAGAGGACGACCAGCCACACUGGGACUGAGACACGGCCCAGACUCCUACGGGAGGCAGCAGUGGGGAAUUUUGGACAAUGGGCGAAAGCCUGAUCCAGCAAUGCCGCGUGUGUGAAGAAGGCCUUCGGGUUGUAAAGCACUUUUGUCCGGAAAGAAAACCUCCGCCCUAAUAUGGUGGGGGGAUGACGGUACCGGAAGAAUAAGCACCGGCUAACUACGUGCCAGCAGCCGCGGUAAUACGUAGGGUGCAAGCGUUAAUCGGAAUUACUGGGCGUAAAGCGUGCGCAGGCGGUCCGCUAAGACAGAUGUGAAAUCCCCGGGCUUAACCUGGGAACUGCAUUUGUGACUGGCGGGCUAGAGUAUGGCAGAGGGGGGUAGAAUUCCACGUGUAGCAGUGAAAUGCGUAGAGAUGUGGAGGAAUACCGAUGGCGAAGGCAGCCCCCUGGGCCAAUACUGACGCUCAUG